CACAAGCAAUGUUUUACAAGUUACUAGGCUACUUAGUGGUAGUAGGCAGUAUUUAGUGAUGUAUUUGGUUAUAAAUGUAUUGUUUUUUUUCUAGUUGAAUGAAUGAGCAAAAUGAGCUAUCAGCCAUAAGCUCUCUUGUUGCACGAUUGUGAGCAAGUAAAAAUAUUUCAUGCAUCUUGCUUCCUUGUUCUAUGUCCUGAUAACCCUAACAAACGGCAUCAUGAGUCUAAGUCUUUGAGGGCCAUUGAUUUUUCUUUUGCUGCUUGUUAAGAAAGACAGAAUCUUCUAAAGUCUGUGAUCUUUGAGGGCUACUUGUAAAGAAGACAGCAGCAGCUCACCCCUGUGAGACUCCCGAACAAGCUUGGGAUAAGCUGAAGGAGGAGUUGAUAGAGUAUGUGCAUGAAGACACUCCACAGUAGGAGAGAGUAUGUCCAAGAAGAAACAGGACUGUAAUGAGCAAGUGAACAAGGCAUGAUGUGUUUAAAUGUAAGUUGCCAACCAAGGCUGUGAAUGAGGAGAAGACUCCAUUUGAACAAAUCUUUGGCACAAAAGACUGGGAUAGUCAAGUGUGUGAGUCAGAUUUUGUUGAUAAUGAGACCAAUGUUGAAGAUGAGUUGAAAAUGAAUUGCUUGAGUAGAGUCAGCUUG
rnacentral:lncRNA from 1 species